rnacentral:rRNA from 1 species
UGGAUCCAGACUUUGAUCAUGGCUCAGGACGAACGCUGGCGGCGCGCCUAACACAUGCAAGUCGAACGAGCGAGAGAGAGCUUGCUUUCUCGAGCGAGUGGCGAACGGGUGAGUAACGCGUGAGGAACCUGCCUCAAAGAGGGGGACAACAGUUGGAAACGACUGCUAAUACCGCAUAAGCCCACGGCUCGGCAUCGAGCAGGGGGAAAAGGAGCAAUCCGCUUUGAGAUGGCCUCGCGUCCGAUUAGCUAGUUGGUGAGGUAACGGCCCACCAAGGCGACGAUCGGUAGCCGGACUGAGAGGUUGAACGGCCACAUUGGGACUGAGACACGGCCCAGACUCCUACGGGAGGCAGCAGUGGGGAAUAUUGCACAAUGGGGGAAACCCUGAUGCAGCGACGCCGCGUGGAGGAAGAAGGUCUUCGGAUUGUAAACUCCUGUUGUUGGGGAAGAUAAUGACGGUACCCAACAAGGAAGUGACGGCUAACUACGUGCCAGCAGCCGCGGUAAAACGUAGGUCACAAGCGUUGUCCGGAAUUACUGGGUGUAAAGGGAGCGCAGGCGGGAAGACAAGUUGGAAGUGAAAUCUAUGGGCUCAACCCAUAAACUGCUUUCAAAACUGUUUUUCUUGAGUAGUGCAGAGGUAGGCGGAAUUCCCGGUGUAGCGGUGGAAUGCGUAGAUAUCGGGAGGAACACCAGUGGCGAAGGCGGCCUACUGGGCACCAACUGACGCUGAGGCUCGAAAGUGUGGGUAGCAAACAGGAUUAGAUACCCUGGUAGUCCACACCGUAAACGAUGAUUACUAGGUGUUGGAGGAUUGACCCCUUCAGUGCCGCAGUUAACACAAUAAGUAAUCC